CCCCGGCGUCCCUAGUGGCAAUCAGUAUUAUUGGGUCUAAAGCAUUCGUAGCCGGAUUGUUAAAUUUUCUGUGAAAUCGCUCAGCUUAACUGGGCGGCGUGCAGGAAAGACUGGCAAUCUUGGAACUGGGAGGAGUUAGGAGUAUUCUGGGGGGAGCGGUAAAAUGUGAUAAUCCUCGGAAGACUACCAGUGGCGAAGGCGCCUAACUAGAACAGAUUCGACGGUGAGGAAUGAAGGCCAGGGGAGCAAACCG
rnacentral:rRNA from 1 species